CCUAUAUUCUGGUUAGAGGGUUAGAGAGGUGUUUUAUAUUUUGAUGUGGAGGUCUCUAUAGAAACCUUGUUGUAAAAACCUUGACCAUUAUAGUGCAUUUGCUUCCGAGUACAAUAUAAAAAUUGCGUUUGAAUCUUCUAUCCCUGCACUCUUUACAUUUCAAGUCGACUUUGCAUAUAACGUAGUCAACUAUUUUCCGCUACACUUGAAUAAUCUUUUUCCUUGUGUUUCAAGAAAUGUAUUUCACUAAUUCACCCUCCUCUUGGUGUUGAAACUAAGCCAUUCUAUUUUCAACAAUUGGCACUAGAGUUGGUUUUCAUAAGAUAUUUGAAAAACUAGUCGAUUACACUUUUCU
rnacentral:lncRNA from 1 species